UGGGGAAUAUUGCACAAUGGGCGCAAGCCUGAUGCAGCAACGCCGCGUGAGCGAGGAAGGCCUUCGGGUCGUAAAGCUCUGUGCUAGGGAAGAAGAUGACGGUACCCAAGGAGGAAGCCCCGGCUAACUACGUGCCAGCAGCCGCGGUAAUACGUAGGGGGCGAGCGUUAUCCGGAAUUAUUGGGCGUAAAGAGUACGUAGGUGGUUUUGUAAGCGCGGGGUGAAAGGCAGUGGCUUAACCAUUGUUAGCCUUGCGAACUGCAAGACUUGAGUGCAGGAGAGGGAAGCGGAAUUCCUAGUGUAGCGGUGAAAUGCGUAGAUAUUAGGAGGAACACCAGUGGCGAAGGCGGCUUUCUGGACUGUAACUGACACUGAGGUACGAAAGCGUGGGGAGCAAACAGGAUUAGAUACCC
rnacentral:rRNA from 1 species